AGUGCUUCAAGCUCCAGGCUUUUCUCUGACUCUGUUUGCUUUCUUUCUCUCCUUUCCGGUUCCCCUUUAACUGGCUCCUGCUUCCAGUGAGCAGAGCCGGAGGGAGGCCCUGGCAGGGGCUGUGACGCCACCGAGGGACCAGAAGGACGAUUUGGGAGCAUUUGAGGGGCAAGGGACCCUGAGGCCAGCCAUGCCCAGGCCUCAGGCCUCCAGGGUUCCAUUCAGCCAGCAAGCUCCAGCUUUCCUUUGCCUGAAGUCGAUAUCGUCACCGGUAGACCUGUGUGUGACUCUACGGGGAAAGGACCUUGCUGCCCCUCCACGUUCUGCCUCUAGCAAACCCAGGAAAGGGAAAUCAAGGUGAAAUCUAAGGAAGGGGGGCGCCCAGGGCAUCACUGUGGCUGGGUUUAACUCGAAUCCUCUGCCUUCAUUGGAACCCACCGUUUAGCACAACAAGGGUUACGUACGUAAGUGGACCCUGGUCGUAUGAAAAGUUCCAUCUGCUAAA